CACUAGACGAGAGCAGCGUGUUUCACUGGGUAUUUCGGUGCAAACGAAAACGGUGUGCGCUGGGAUGCUUUCAGGAAUU